rnacentral:lncRNA from 1 species
CGGGCGCCACGUUAGGGUCCCCUGCGGCCCUUACGCGACCGCAUUCCGGUCCCGGUCCCCGCGGGACCGCGGCAGCUGUCCCGGGCCCUGGGUCUUUGCACACCUGCCCCUACCAGGGACGGCUCUAGAGCCAGCCUCUCGGACUGCAGCCCUGGGGAAGGGGACCCCCCCCCCUCCCGCCGCGCGUCCCAGUUGCUCCGAGGGAGGUGGCCCCGGGCAGACGAGCGUUUUUGUUGUGGGAAUGGGGGUCACUGGCAGCAGAUGCACCCUAAGACCGUGUGGGCAGGCUGAGCGUUCCUGCGCGGAGCAUGCGAGGGAGGAGGAGAGCGGGCGCGCCUUGGCCUGGCCCCCCGCGGGCCCCGCCGCCCCCAGCACCCACUAUGUGCCCCGCGCCGUGCUCCGCUCCACUCCGGGUGUGCCCUGCGCGCUGGCCGUGCGAUCCCUCCUCGGGGAUCCCGGGCUGGCGGGGAGAUCCUGAGGGACCGGGCCGCCUGCGAGCCGGGGAGCUGCGAAGCUUGCCUGGGCAUCGAUCUUGUAGUCCAGACAACAGAACGAUGAGCGCGCUCCCGGCCCCUGCGGGGCUGCCCAGGGUCUCCGCGCAUCCUCCCUCUCACGCGUCAGGACGACCCCCGGAGGUGGGGGCCAUGUGGGUGCCACUUUACACCUAGGGAAACUGAGGCACAGGGAGUUCCGUGACCUCUAUGACAACUAGUCAGGGCUUGAGCCAGAGCCCUCUUUCAGCAUUCGGGUGAAAAAUGCAGAAUAAAUCAGGAAGCGGGUGCGGAGGACCUCCAAGAAGUUGAGGUUGGCAUAGGCGUGCACAUGCCUGGAACUUGGUGCCGGCAGGUGCCCAAGGAAGCGCAGACCUGGAGUGUGAAUUGGAGCGUGUUGGGGAAAGGGGGUGCCUAGGAUAUGGGCGGGUAGUGGGACCAGCCAGUGUCAAAGCCCUGGGAGGGGAGAGAGGCUGCCCUUGCCACAGAGAGGAGGCGGGCAGGGCAGGCAGCUCAGUCAGAUGCCAGGAAGAGCCGCAGCCUGCCUUAGUUUUCCCCUGCGGCUCCAGGGCCAUCAUCCUCCACAAAGGAUGAUGAAUCGAGGCUGUGGACGACCACCCAACACAAGAACUGGACUAAGUCCAAGUAACACUGACGCACAGCGCCUCCCUCGUUUGCCCUCAUUCUCGACCUUGACUUUGGCUGGUAGACAUGAUGCUCAUUACCGCCUUCCACAGAGGGAAACUGAGGCACGGUGACUCGCUGAGGGCACAUGGCUGACGGAGGCAGAAGCGGGUCUCAUCUUCAAAACAGAGCUCCUCCCACUGCCUUCACCUGCCCUAUCAGCAGCUUCCUCCUUUUGGAGGCCGAUUCGGGUGUGGGCGGUGGGCACAGCCCAAGCACUUCUCCUGUCUGCCCUUUCACUAAAAGCAGCGUCAUCUGUGGCAGCAGAAUCCACUCUGCCACGUUCGUCUUUGCAGACGCAACUAACAAAUGAUUGCUUUGGUGUUCUUGGUUUCUGGUUUAUCAGAAACUUUCCAAGAUUUUCGUAGUGCCUGGCUCCAAAUACUCAACUUGCACCCCAGAAACACUGAGCCUGCCUUUGCCACCCACCACCACCGAAUGCCUAUGGGAGGCGAGCUCACUAGGGGAAUACCAUCUGCCUCUAAGUCGACCUUGGUCUCAGGUCCCAAGUCCAGCUAUGCCUGAGCAGCCCUCCAGAGCCCCCAAAGCCGAUGUCCUGCCCACUCCCAGCUUUCCAGAGCCCACCCCAGCAUAGAGGUGCUCUCCAUGUGCCCUUCAGGGUGAACGCCAAAUCCUGAGUCCUGUGAAGCCCCCAUACUUCCAAGAUGCAGACACUUCCAUGUGUUCACUGCCUGAUGCCAAGUCAAGUGUUCUGGACAUUUCCUUGCAAGGCUGGGCCCACAGCCUGGCAGGGAUACAGAUGAGCAAACCCAAGCCCAGCCUGCUCCCAGGCCCCCAGUUCUGUGUGCAUUCCUCCCUCAAUCCCCCUACGUUGC